ACGAGUUAUCUGAACCUUCGGGGAACGAUAACGGCGUCGAGCGGCGGACGGGUGAGUAAUGCCUAGGAAAUUGCCCUGAUGUGGGGGAUAACCAUUGGAAACGAUGGCUAAUACCGCAUGAUGCCUACGGGCCAAAGAGGGGGACCUUCGGGCCUCUCGCGUCAGGAUAUGCCUAGGUGGGAUUAGCUAGUUGGUGAGGUAAGGGCUCACCAAGGCGACGAUCCCUAGCUGGUCUGAGAGGAUGAUCAGCCACACUGGAACUGAGACACGGUCCAGACUCCUACGGGAGGCAGCAGUGGGGAAUAUUGCACAAUGGGCGCAAGCCUGAUGCAGCCAUGCCGCGUGUAUGAAGAAGGCCUUCGGGUUGUAAAGUACUUUCAGUCGUGAGGAAGGCGGCGUCGUUAAUAGCGGCGUUGUUUGACGUUAGCGACAGAAGAAGCACCGGCUAACUCCGUGCCAGCAGCCGCGGUAAUACGGAGGGUGCGAGCGUUAAUCGGAAUUACUGGGCGUAAAGCGCAUGCAGGUGGUUUGUUAAGUCAGAUGUGAAAGCCCGGGGCUCAACCUCGGAAUAGCAUUUGAAACUGGCAGACUAGAGUACUGUAGAGGGGGGUAGAAUUUCAGGUGUAGCGGUGAAAUGCGUAGAGAUCUG
rnacentral:rRNA from 1 species